AUGUUGAAAAACUGCAAAGUUAGAUACUUUAGGAACCGGGGUCAUACACUACUCAUGGAGCGUGACUUCAACCUGCUAACUGUCAUAAAAGGGGUCAACAUGUACCGCCAUGGAAGAAAAUGGGAUGUCGUGACCGAUUUCCUUCCACCAACAUUUACAGAGUUCAAGAAAUCAACCCAAGAUUUCCCAUUGCUCAAUCAAUCAAUGAGCCCAGUCUUGUUGCCUACUCUGGAGACUGGAAAAGUUGUACGUGGACUCGGCAGUGUUCCUAACAAAGGUCUUGUCUUGUUUGUGGGUCGUCGCCAACUCUUAGGGAUAGAGAUGCCUUCACUUGUUCAAGAGUUCUUGAAAGAGAAGAAAUAA
rnacentral:rRNA from 1 species